rnacentral:rRNA from 6 species
UGCGGUGGUGAUAGCCGGGGGGAAACGCUCAGUCUCCUUUUCGAACCUGGUUGCUAAGCCCUGUGGUGUUGAUGGUACUGCAUCUUGGUGGGUGUGGGAGAGUAGAUGGCUGCCGCAA